GGUAGUGACAAUAAAUCACAAUGCGGGACUAUCAGUCUUGCAAUUGGAUUGAGAACAAUGUACAACUCUUAUCGAUAAGCCAUUGGAGGGCAAGUCUGGUGCCAGCAGCCGCGGUAAUUCCAGCUCCAAUAGCGUAUAUUAACGUUGUUGCAGUUAAAAAGCUCGUAGUUGAAGUGUGGGUGAUCGCUGUUGUGAGACUUCGGUCUCUCGACAGUAAGUCACCCCCUUCCAGUAUCCAGUAGUGGGUAUUCAGUUACUUACUAUUGUGUGUUGGUCCUUUACUGUGAGAAAAUUAGAGUGUUCAAAGCAGGCGUUUGCUUGAAUAGAUUAGCAUGGAAUAAUAAUUGAAGGCUUUCGUGUUCGAUUUGAUUGGUUUGUUCAUGGAAGCAAGGUUAAAAGGAACAGUUGGGGGUAUUCAUAUUCACUAGUUAGAGGUGAAAUUCUCGGAUUUAUGGAAGAUG
rnacentral:rRNA from 1 species